AAUGCCGGAAGUGAGAGAAAAUGGCUUUCACAGACAUCGACCACCGCAACAUACUCUCUCUCUCUUAUCAAUAUUAUUACCUUUAUUAAAUUUCUUGGGAAGCUUCACAACACUACACCUAAUUUCAGUCAUGAAUUACGAGCAGUUUGCUAUAUUUUUUGAUAAAGCUGAUGGAUUAACUUCAUUACUUUCUGGUCAUUUAAUUAAAAAAAGUUAAACUUCUCCGUGAAGAACUUGUGACUGUUGAGGGAGAAACAAAACUGGUAGACGUAAAAUUAUCUCCAAGACCUAAAUUCUGGUAAAACCUAAAUUUUUCGAUGAUGUUCGUUGGAAAAAAAAAACCUAAUAAUUCACUAAAUAAUAAUAUUAUGUAAUACUAUUUCCUAUGUCUGUAAUUAAACCCUAAAGCUACUUAAGCAAAGUGUCUUUAGAUAUUUUUACCGUUUCCACUGCUCUUAUUUAUUUUCAGUUCUGGAACUCCUUCUGCUCGUAACUUUUUAUUUUUUAUGCAUUUUAAAAGAAUUCAGAUUUUCAUUUUUGUUUAAUAAAAUAUU
rnacentral:lncRNA from 1 species